rnacentral:rRNA from 1 species
UACAGAGGUCUCAAGCGUUGUUCGGAUUCAUUGGGCGUAAAGGGUGCGUAGGUGGCGCUGUAAGUCGGGUGUGAAAUUUCGGAGCUUAACUCCGAAACUGCAUUCGAUACUGCGGUGCUUGAGGACUGGAGAGGAGACUGGAAUUCAUGGUGUAGCAGUGAAAUGCGUAGAGAUCAUGAGGAAGACCAGUGGCGAAAGGCGGGGUCUCUGGACAGUUCCUGACACUGAGACACGAAGGCCAGGGGAGCAAACGGG